GAUGAACGCUAGCGGUGUGCCUAAUGCAUGCAAGUCGAACGGGAUCCUUUGGAUUCGUCUGAAGGUGAGAGUGGCGAACGGGUGAGUAACACGUAGGUGACCUGCCCCGGAGAGGGGGACAACCACUGGAAACGGUGGCUAAUACCCCAGAUGUUGUUACGCUUAGAAAGUAAUGACUAAAGUUCCGGCGCUCCGGGAGGGGCCUGCGGCCCAUCAGCUUGUUGGUAAGGUAAUGGCUUACCAAGGCAAAGACGGGUAGGGGGCGUGAGAGCGCGAUCCCCCACACUGGUACUGAGACACGGACCAGAUACCUGCGGGUAGCAGCAGCAAGGAAUAUUGCCCAAUGGACGAAAGUCUGAGGCAGCAACACCGCGUGGAGGAUGAAUGCCUUCGGGUUGUAAACUCCUUUUCUGGGGGAAGAGAAUGGACGGUACCCCAGGAAUAAGUCUCGGCUAACUACGUG
rnacentral:rRNA from 1 species